UUGAAACUGAGUGUUUUAUCGACAUGCGUUUUUUUGUUCUUCACAAACAGAUCGCAUUUUAAAUGUCAAUACCACAGUCGAUCAUGUUUACAGAUUCAAAAUUGUGAUCGCUGUUAAAAAUUGAGACUUCAAGACUGAAUAUGGGCGCUACUUUUUCCUUUUUUAAGCUAAAACGUCAAGAUCUCUACCUGCAUCUGAACACUUCCUAUCAUCAGGAGCAGCGGGCCGCAACAACACAGUGUCAGGGUAUCAACUCCACAUCUGAGGCCUGCACUUCAGUCUAGGAAAAAGGCAGAUAAAGAAACCCAACAAGGAGAUUGAGACUACCAUAUCAGGUCGGGCUGUCCGAGGAUCGGCCUGUGGGAUGGAGCUAGCAUGACCCCAGCAACAAAGGCUGUGAUCACAUCAGACCCUAUUGCACCCUCUGCUGGACCUUCAUGAGAAUGACCUUGUUAUCACUACAAAGAUACUCAUGUCUCAGGCUGCACAGGCCAAUCACAGAGUGGUGCAAUAACAA
ensembl:lncRNA